AAAUCAGGUCACAUUCUAAGGUUUGGGAGUUAAGAUUUCCACAUAUCUUUUUGCAGAGCACACAAUUUAACCCAGGACAGCAGGGAGACAGCACCCCAGGCCGAGUGAAGGGGAGGACCGCACAGGCAAACGCUGGCCUGGCGAGGCACCAGAGGCUGUAGAGGAAAGCGCCUCCCACCUGUGAGAUGCCAACAAGAUACCCAGGGUCUGAAGAGUCUUAAAAGAAAAGCAAGGAGCGGGGGUAUGAUAUCCGACCAAAGAGCAAACGCCCGAGCCACUUGGCACUGCACUCUAACUGGGAGGCUGAGCAC
rnacentral:lncRNA from 1 species